rnacentral:rRNA from 1 species
GAUGAACGCUGACAGAAUGCUUAACACAUGCAAGUCUACUUGAACUUCGGUUUGGGUGGCGGACGGGUGAGUAACGCGUAAAGAACUUGCCUCACAGUUAGGGACAACAUUUGGAGACGAAUGCUAAUACCUGAUAUUAUGAUUUUAGGGCAUCCUAAGAUUAUGAAAGCUAUAUGCACUGUGAGAGAGCUUUGCGUCCCAUUAGCUAGUUGGAGAGGUAACGGCUCACCAAGGCGAUGAUGGGUAGCCGGCCUGAGAGGGUGAACGGCCACAAGGGGACUGAGACACGGCCCUUACUCCUACGGGAGGCAGCAGUGGGGAAUAUUGGACAAUGGACCAAGAGUCUGAUCCAGCAAUUCUGUGUGCACGAUGACGUUUUUCGGAAUGUAAAGUGCUUUCAGUUGGGAAGAAAAAAAUGACGGUACCAACAGAAGAAGUGACGG